rnacentral:rRNA from 1 species
GUUGCAGGGUAUAGACCCGAAACCCGGUGAUCUAGCCAUGGGCAGGUUGAAGGUUGGGUAACACUAACUGGAGGACCGAACCGACUAAUGUUGAAAAAUUAGCGGAUGACCUGUGGCUGGGGGUGAAAGGCCAAUCAAACCGGGAGAUAGCUGGUUCUCCCCGAAAGCUAUUUAGGUAGCGCCUCGUGAAUUCAUCUCCGGGGGUAGAGCACUGUUUCGGCUAGGGGGCCAUCCCGGCUUACCAACCCGAUGCAAACUGCGAAUACCGGAGAAUGUUAUCACGGGAGACACACGGCGGGUGCUAACGUCCGUCGUGAAGAGGGAAACAACCCAGACCGCCAGCUAAGGUCCCAAAGUCAUGGUUAAGUGGGAAACGAUGUGGGAAGGCCCAGACAGCCAGGAUGUUGGCUUAGAAGCAGCCAUCAUUUAAAGAAAGCGUAAUAGCUCACUGGUCGAGUCGGCCUGCGCGGAAGAUGUAACGGGGCUAAACCAUGCACCGAAGCUGCGGCAGCGACACUGUGUGUUGUUGGGUAGGGGAGCGUUCUGUAAGCCUGUGAAGGUGUGUCGUGA